CCCGAGGUACUAGCUUUCUUGUAGAGAUCUGCUCUUGAUGGUUAAUUGAAGACCUUCUUCAAAUCUCUCAAACCCUCUUAGAGAAGAAGAAGAUCUUGGAGGAAGAAGAGGUGGAGGAAGAAGAAGAGAAUUCUUCCCUUUUCUCUCACAAAACCCAUGCCAAAGAAGAAAAAGGGGACACCCCAAGAGACCUCAUGCCCAAGACCUUUUUUUCUUCUCUUCUCAUGAUAAAAUCAGAUCACAUCUAAUUUCAUAUGCCAAAAACAAAACCCUUUUAUAGAUGGCAUCCAAGGAU
rnacentral:lncRNA from 1 species